rnacentral:lncRNA from 1 species
CAUCCAGCAAAAGAGGAGACAAACUGGGAGAGUAUUACAUGCCAAGCGCGAAGUGUAUCUCAGGAACGAAGAACUGACUGUGUCGAAUGCUAAGAGGGCAAGGAAGAUGAAGGGGAGAAUGGAAAAGGAAGAAAGAAAAUAAAAACCUUUCUUCUUUAUGUUCUGCUAAUGGAAUCUGGGCUUUACAUGGCAUCAAGCAUACAGUAUGAGGGAUUUAGUGUUUUCAUCAAUAUUUCUCCAUAAA